AGUACGGUCGCAAGACUAAAACUCAAAUGAAUUGACGGGGGCCCGCACAAGCGGUGGAGCAUGUGGUUUAAUUCGAUGCAACGCGAAGAACCUUACCUGGUCUUGACAUAGUAAGAACUUUCCAGAGAUGGAUUGGUGCCUUCGGGAACUUACAUACAGGUGCUGCAUGGCUGUCGUCAGCUCGUGUCGUGAAAUGUUGGGUUAAGUCCCGCAACGAGCGCAACCCUUUUCCUUAUUUGCCAGCGGGUUAAGCCGGGAACUUUAAGGAUACUGCCAGUGACAAACUGGAGGAAGGCGGGGACGACGUCAAGUCAUCAUGGCCCUUACGACCAGGGCUACACACGUGCUACAAUGGUCGGUACAAAGGGUUGCUACCUAGCGAUAGGAUGCUAAUCUCAAAAAGCCGAUCGUAGUCCGGAUUGGAGUCUGCAACUCGACUCCAUGAAGUCGGAAUCGCUAGUAAUCGCGGAUCAGAAUGCCGCGGUGAAUACGUUCCCGGGCCUUGUACACACCGCCCGUCACACCAUGGGAAUUUGUUGCACCAGAAGUAGGUAGUCUAACCGCAAGGAGGACGCUUACCACGGUGUGGCCGAUGACUGGGGUGAAGUCGUAACAAGGUAACC
rnacentral:rRNA from 1 species